UGAUCAUAUGCCUUUGUGUACUUGUGCUUAAUAACCAGUUCACACCAUCGAUGGCGAACCUGGGGAAACAAGACAGGAAACCUGGUAAAAGUAAAAGUAGGGGCACACUGCAUACGCCAUGACAGUGCUUGGCACUCAGCAGGCUGUUCUGGUCACAAGACCCCAGUAGACGCGGGAUAAAGCCCACUGUGUGGAUGUGGAUAUGGGACCCAACUCAACUAGGACUGAUGGAACCUGGAAGCUGCCCUUCUCCAGACUAGAGCCCUGUCUCUUAAGUUCCUUACAGAGGCUGCCUUUGCUUUAGCAUAACAUGCCCUACUCUGACACUGACUUAAAUGCACGAGAUGGUCAUGAGUCCUGAAAGCCUUCCCAAUCCUGGUGUAGCAGCUACCGAGUGUCCCACCACACCAGAGCUGAAGCAGAUGCGUGCCUGUAACAGUGAAGAUGGAAGGGCAACCUCCAAAGCCACAAAACCCAGGUGUGUGCCACCUCCUGCUCCGCUCAGUUUGAUGCUGCAGCGUUCCCAGACCACGAGGCAGGCACCUCUGCAGUCUGAGAGACACUGAUGAAGGCCCUUCCAUGAUUCACACUCCUGUCAUCAGUCUGCAGUUCCCCCAUCUGAGCGCCUCCCCCGACUGGGCUAUAGGUCUGACAAGUGGGGGACAGCUUGCAGGAGGGACUGCUCACCAGGUGUAUGUAGCAGGGGUGUGGGAGAGUGGGUGGACAGAGGACAUGUCUAAAGGAGCCGAGAGCUGUUUCUGGAAGUGGUGCCAGCCAACAGGGACAGAGAGCCGGAGCCCCAGGGAAGAAUCUUGUGAGGGCGGCCACCAUCUUAGAAGGUGGACCUUUCCUUCUCAGUCUGGUUAGUUAACAAACCCUUACCUUCUCUUACUGUAUCACUGCCCCCCGCCCCCAUCCCACCCACUUGUCUGUAGGAUGUUUUGAGUAACAGGGAGAUUAGCUCUUGACUAGACUGCAAGCUUUUUCUAGUUGGGGAUUUAGCUCAGUGGUAGAGCGCUUGCCCUAGGAAGCCCAAGGCCCUGGGUUCGGUCCCCAGCUCCGGAGGAAAAAAAAAAGAAAGAAAGAAAGAAAAAAAAAAGUGGUCCACCAAGACUGCAAGCUUUUUCAAGCAGAGUCAUCUUGACUGCAGCUAUGGCGAUGUUUGCAUUUCUGAAUGGUUCUAGUUUAGUUUACUGAUUAUCCUUCCUACGGUUUUUCAACUCUGUUCUUUUAGUUUUAGCAUUUGUGUUUAUGUGUGUGCUCCAAAUGAUCUAGCUUUUCUAAGAGAACUUUUCUUGGGUUCUCUUAGACGUAGUUUUGCUACUUAGCCCAGGUUGAUCUAGAAUUUCCAGGGUAGCUCAAGGCUGCCUCCCAAGUUCUGGGAUUAUAGGUGUGACCUACCACACUUGGAAAACUACACUUUAAACAUUUAUGUUUUAUCAACUGUUAGUGAAGUUGAAAUUUAAUGAUUUAAACAGCAAUUAAAAUUCAGGUUAUCUCAAGCUUUUGCUAGGAAUCCCCAGCAAGUCUAGAGUUAGCAAACGCUUAGUCUGAACAGAACCCAGAUGGUCAGGCCAGACCAAGAUGGCAGAGGCCAAGGGAAAGGUGGAAGGCUGAGUACGUGGGCAGGAAAAGGUCAAUUCAGAGUCAUCCCUGUAAAGGAAGGCGAGUGACCCUCCUGCCUCUGUGGUGUCUAUGCUCUGGCUGGACACACAACUACCAGUGUUCUCUCUGAGC
rnacentral:sRNA from 1 species